GUGCCAGCAGCCGCGGUAAUACGUAGGGUGCAAGCGUUAUCCGGAAUUAUUGGGCGUAAAGAGCUCGUAGGCGGUCUGUCGCGUCUGCUGUGAAAACCCGAGGCUCAACCUCGGGCCUGCAGUGGGUACGGGCAGACUAGAGUGCGGUAGGGGAGAUUGGAAUUCCUGGUGUAGCGGUGGAAUGCGCAGAUAUCAGGAGGAACACCGAUGGCGAAGGCAGAUCUCUGGGCCGUAACUGACGCUGAGGAGCGAAAGCGUGGGGAGCGAACAGGAUUAGAUACCCUGGUAGUCC
rnacentral:rRNA from 1 species